ACUACGGGAGGCAGCAGUGAGGAAUAUUGGUCAAUGGGCGGAAGCCUGAACCAGCCAAGUAGCGUGCAGGAUGACGGCCCUACGGGUUGUAAACUGCUUUUAUACGGGAAUAACGCGCCUUACGUGUAGGGCUUUGCAUGUACCGUAUGAAUAAGGACCGGCUAAUUCCGUGCCAGCAGCCGCGGUAAUACGGAAGGUCCGGGCGUUAUCCGGCUUUAUUGGGUUUAAAGGGAGCGUAGGCCGCAUGUCAAGCGUGCUGUGAAAUGUCCGGGCGCAACCCGGGCCUUGCAGCGCGAACUGGCGUGCUUGAGUCCGCGGAAAGCAGGCGGAAUUCGUCGUGGAGCGGUGAAAUGCUUAGAUAUGACGAAGAACCCCGAUUGCGAAGGCAGCUUGCUGCAGCGGAACUGACGCUGAUGCUCGAAAGCGCGGGUAUCGAACAGGAUUAGAUACCCUUGUAGUC
rnacentral:rRNA from 1 species